rnacentral:sRNA from 1 species
AUAAUGUAUCGAACAAGAACCUGCAUAAUUUAUCGUCAGGAACUGUCGGCCAUCGGAGA